AUGAAGUAAGUAAUAUGUUUUCUUCUUUGCUAAUACAGAUGCAACAGUCAACAAACGUAACUAUUAAGUUUACCGACUGUACGAGGCAGAGCAUAAACAAACUAACCAGCGCUAUUAAUAGGCUGGUAGUAAGUGCCGGUGUCACUGCAGCCCCGCGCUCCAACAUGUCGCCAGCUACGGCCUUUGUCAUCGCCACCUUAGCUUUGUUGGCGGCUGUGGCGGCUGUCACUAAUCAUGAGAGUAACCGCAAAUACUUUGUCGUUGGAUGAUUGAGGAUUAGGUUAUCUUUAAAAGCUACUUUGACAGAUACUAUAAAUAAAAAUAAUAUGUAUUUAUAUGAC